AAAACAUCGCUCCUUGAAACCAUUACCACUAUAAGGAGUCGAACCUGCCCAGUGACAAAAGUUAAACGGCCGCGGUACCCUGACCGUGCAAAGGUAGCAUAAUCAUUUGCCUUUUAAUUGAGGGCUAGUAUGAACGGUUUGACGAGAGCUUUGCUGUCUCCUUUUAAAAUAUUUAAAAACUAACCUAUAGGUGAAGAGGCCUAUAUUUAACUAAGGGACAAGAAGACCCUAUCGAGCUUAAGUGAACUUGCACGUAUUUACACACCCUGUAAAUCUACAUUAUUGAAUUAAUAACAUGUAAGUAACAUCUUUAGUUGGGGCGACUAAGGAAAAACAGAAACUUCCUCUAACACUUUCAAAUACACAAAAUAUGAUCCAGUAAUUCCUGAUCAAAGGAAAAGUUACCGUAGGGAUAACAGCGCAAUCUUUCUGGAGAGACCUUAUCGAAAGAAAGGUUUGCGACCUCGAUGUUGGACUAAGAUAUCCUGAAGGUGCAACAGCUUUCAUUGGUUGGUCUGUUCGACCAUUAAAAUCUUACGUGAUCUGAGUUCAGACCGGA
rnacentral:rRNA from 1 species